rnacentral:rRNA from 1 species
UUGGUCCUACGGGACGCAGCAGUGGGGAAUAUUGCACAAUGGGCGCAAGCCUGAUGCAGCGACGCCGCGUGCGGGAUGGAGGCGUUCGGGUUGUAAACCGCUUUUGUUCAAGGGCAAGGCACGGUCUUUGGCCGUGUUGAGUGGAUUGUUCGAAUAAGCACCGGCUAACUACGUGCCAGCAGCCGCGGUAAUACGUAGGGUGCAAGCGUUAUCCGGAUUUAUUGGGCGUAAAGGGCUCGUAGUCGGUUCGUCGCGUCCGGUGUGAAAGUCCAUCGCUUAACGGUGGAUCCGCGCCGGGUACGGGG